rnacentral:pre_miRNA from 1 species
AAACUACUCCCUCCGUUUCAUAAUUCUUGUCUUAAAUUUACCCAAAUAUGAAUGUAUCUAUUCCUAAAAAGCGUCUAGAUACAUGUAAUAUUUUGACAAGAAUUAUGGAACAGAGGGAGUAGAUC